rnacentral:rRNA from 1 species
UUUUAUGGAGAGUUUGAUCCUGGCUCAGGAUGAACGCUGGCGGCGUGCCUAAUACAUGCAAGUCGAGCGAACGGACGAGAAGCUUGCUUCUCUGAUGUUAGCGGCGGACGGGUGAGUAACACGUGGAUAACCUACCUAUAAGACUGGGAUAACUUCGGGAAACCGGAGCUAAUACCGGAUAAUAUUUUGAACCGCAUGGUUCAAAAGUGAAAGACGGUCUUGCUGUCACUUAUAGAUGGAUCCGCGCUGCAUUAGCUAGUUGGUAAGGUAACGGCUUACCAAGGCAACGAUGCAUAGCCGACCUGAGAGGGUGAUCGGCCACACUGGGACUGAGACACGGUCCAGUCUCCUUCGGGUUGCAGCUGUAGGGUAUCUUCCGCUAUG